GGGUGCGAUCAUUCCAGUACUAAUGUACCGGAUCUCAUCAGAACUCCACAGUUAAGCGUGCUUGGGCUAGAGUUGUACUCGGAUGGGUGACCUCCUGGGAAGUCCUCGGGUUGCACCCU
rnacentral:rRNA from 1 species